ACAUAUCAAUAAGCGGAGGAAAAGAAACCAACAGGGAUUGCCCCAGUAACGGCGAGUGAAGCGGCAACAGCUCAAAUUUGAAAUCUGGCCCUCGGGUCCGAGUUGUAAUUUGUAGAGGAUGCUUUUGGCGAGGUGCCUUCCGAGUUCCCUGGAACGGGACGCCAUAGAGGGUGAGAGCCCCGUCUGGUCGGACACCGAGCCUCUGUAAAGCUCCUUCGACGAGUCGAGUAGUUUGGGAAUGCUGCUCAAAAUGGGAGGUAUAUGUCUUCUAAAGCUAAAUAUUGGCCAGAGACCGAUAGCGCACAAGUAGAGUGAUCGAAAGAUGAAAAGCACUUUGAAAAGAGGGUUAAAAAGUACGUGAAAUUGUUGAAAGGGAAGCGCCUAUGACCAGACUUGAGCCCGGUGAAUCAUCCAGCGUUCUCGCUGGUGCACUUUGCCGGGUCCAGGCCAGCAUCAGUUUGGCGCGGGGGAUAAAGGUGGUGGGAAUGUGGCUCCCUCGGGAGUGUUAUAGCCCGCUACGUAAUACCCUGCGCCGGACUGAGGUACGCGCAUUGCAAGGAUGCUGGCGUAAUGGUCAUCAGCGACCCGUCUUGAAACACGGACCAAGGAGUCGUCUUCGUAUGCGAGUGUUCGGGUGUCAAACCCCUACGCGUAAUGAAAGUGAACGCAGGUGAGAGCUUCGGCGCAUCAUCGACCGAUCCUGAUGUUCUCGGAUGGAUUUGAGUAAGAGCAUACGGGGCCGGACCCGAAAGAAGGUGAACUAUGCCUGUAUAGGGUGAAGCCAGAGGAAACUCUGGUGGAGGCUCGCAGCGGUUCUGACGUGCGAAUCGAUCGUCAAAUAUGGGCAUGGGGGCGAAAGACUAAUCGAACCUUCUAGUAGCUGGUUUCCGCCG
rnacentral:rRNA from 1 species